rnacentral:rRNA from 2 species
UGGGGAAUCUUGGACAAUGGGCGCAAGCCUGAUCCAGCCAUGCCGCGUGAGUGAAGAAGGCCUUCGGGUUGUAAAGCUCUUUUACCAGGGACGAUAAUGACGGUACCUGGAGAAUAAGCCCCGGCAAACUUCGUGCCAGCAGCCGCGGUAAUACGAAGGGGGCUAGCGUUGUUCGGAAUUACUGGGCGUAAAGCGCACGUAGGCGGGUCGUUAAGUCAGGGGUGAAAUCCCAGAGCUCAACUCUGGAACUGCCUUUGAUACUGGCGACCUAGAGUUCGGAAGAGGUUAGUGGAAUUCCCAGUGUAGAGGUGAAAUUCGUAGAUAUUGGGAAGAACACCAGUGGCGAAGGCGGCUAACUGGUCCGAUUACUGACGCUGAGGUGCGAAAGCGUGGGGAGCAAAACA